CUGGGAACUGCAUUUGAAACUGGUCAACUAGAGUAUGGUAGAGGAAAGUGGAAUUUCUGGUGUAGCGGUGAAAUGCGUAGAUAUCAGAAGGAACACCAAUGGCGAAGGCAGCUUUCUGGACCAAUACUGACGCUGAGGUACGAAAGCGUGGGGAGCAAACAGGAUUAGAUACCCUGGUAGUCCACGCCGUAAACGAUGAUAACUAGCCGUUGGGGGGAUUUACCCUUUAGUGGCGAAGCUAACGCGUUAAGUUAUCCGCCUGGGGAGUACGGCCGCAAGGUUAAAACUCAAAUGAAUUGACGG
rnacentral:rRNA from 1 species